rnacentral:rRNA from 1 species
UACGAAGGGGGCUAGCGUUGCUCGGAAUUACUGGGCGUAAAGCGCACGUAGGCGGCUUCUUAAGUCGGUGGUGAAAUCCUGGAGCUCAACUCCAGAACUGCCUUCGAUACUGGGAAGCUCGAGUCCGGGAGAGGUGAGUGGAACUGCGAGUGUAGAGGUGAAAUUCGUAGAUAUUCGCAAGAACACCGGUGGCGAAGGCGGCCAACUGGACCAUUACUGACGCUGAGGCGCGAAAGCGUGGGGAGCAAACAGG